CGACUAGACCUAAAACAGUGAUUCUGAAUCUCGAUGGCAACCAGUGAACCAGAAUCCACAAAAAGAUUGGCUCAGUUGGAAGCGAAUAGAUCUGAAAACGAACAGAGAACGACGAGUGGUACCUCGAUGACUGUAAAACUCUCAUUACUGUCAUUGUUUCUACUGUAUUUUCGGCCAGUUUUUUGUGUGUGUGCAUGUUUGUCGGCGCUGUCGUGAAUGGAAAGAGCGGAAGAAGCAGUAGCGGCUGCUCUCUAUGUGUGUGUUAACUUCAAGAAAAUGAGACGGGGUCAUUCUUGUUCAACCCAGAGAGAGAGAGGGUCUGUUCAUCUCCUUUGAAUGAAGAAGAAGAAAGCUUGAGGGGACUCUUCUGUGGAGCGGUGUCAGGUUUGUUCUUCUUGUUUUUGGAAGGAGCAGCUGAUGGGUAUGUCAAAGAAGAAGACGUGACGCUAGGGGGUGGGUGUCUUCUUCAGCACUAUUGCGGCUGAUUUCCUAGCUUUUCUUCUAGUUUUUUUUUUUGUUAAGUCCUUC
rnacentral:lncRNA from 1 species